GGUGAUUAGAUAAUCAGACCCAGGUGGGCCAUCUACGCACCUGUCGCUAAUCUCGAAACCGGUCGGGGCACACCCCGCUUCGCUGCAGGUCUGCAGGCCACGCCCCCCCACAGUCCGGCACCCCUAAUAUUAAUGUGUUUAUUUUAAAAGGUGAAAUAAGUCAAAGGUGAUAUUUGAUAUGUGUUUUGAUUUGACAUAUCACUACUUCACUUUUCAAUGGAAACUGAAACGUAUCUCAUCGUGCUCACAUCAUGAAGGCGUCCGCGUGAGCGUUUUGAUUGACAGGGACACCCUUUUCCAAUCUGCAUAUUUGUGCCCGCAAGCAUGCGGUGAUUAUGCGUCUAUGAUGAGGCAUUUCCAUGCAAUCAAAAAGCUAAACAGCUGAACGUCCAUCACGAUUAGCAGCUUCGUUUGCGCUUCAUCAGGCAGUUAAUGAGAGUCUGCUUCUUCCCUAUACCUUAGGUCCUGGUAAUCCCACACCUGGACCGCCUCUGGGGCCUGUGGGACCUGCUGGGCCGUGGACACCCUAUAGGAAAAGACACCAAAAAGUGCAGGCUAGUUACGAAGACGUCACCUUGGCUCCCGGGAAGCCAAUACCAAAGUCUCCCGGUGGUCCCGGGCCACCGCCGGGCCCUCGGUCGCCCUGCAACGAGACAACUCAUUCAGAGGUCCACGUCCCCAUUCUGCACAUAAUGAAGAUCUUGGCACUCUCCGAGCUGUCGAGGAUGAAGACCACCUCCAGGGAGCAGGUGGAAGCUGCCAGACAGGAAGGGGGGAGAAUCUGAGGAAAGCAUGCAACGGCUGCAGACCCAAGAACUGUAAAAGUUCAACACUUUUUCAUACGAUCAGAUCACACUCUUCCACUCCAGUUCUGCAGGUGGCAUUAAUGCGGUUUCAAACGGCUUGCUUUUUUCACCAUAGCGCCAUCUGAUGGACUUGGAGGGUCACUAACCCAUACUUGCCAACCCUCCCGUUUUUACCGGGAGACUCCCGGUAUUCAGCGUUCAUGUUCACACAUCUGAAAACAGUUUAGCUCGUUACAGAAGCUACAAAACUGACCUUCCUUUGAGCAGAUUGAGUUUCUGGAGCAUCACAUUUGUGGGGUCAAUUAAAUGCUCAAAAUGGCCAGAAAAAGAGAACUUUCAUCUGAAACUCGACAGUCUAUUCUUGUUCUUAGAAAUGAAGGCUAUUCCACAAAAUUGUUUGGGUGACCCCAAACUUUUGAACGGUAGUGUAUAUUGCUGGCAGGCAAACCAUACUGCUGUAUGUCAAUAAAAGACUUGAUUCAACCUGUC